GUCUAGUUGACGAGUCCUAAAACAGGACGAAGUGCGCAUCCUAGAU
rnacentral:hammerhead_ribozyme from 1 species